CCCUAGCUUAGGAAACAAGAUGGCUGUCUCCUGAGGAACAAUACCCAGAGUUACACUUUGGCCUCAACAUGCAGGUCAAAGGCUCAUGUUAAAGGACUAAUUCUCCCUGUAGGAGUGGGCUGCUUUCUCUCAACUUAUUUUCACCUGCUGAUGCCAGACAGGGCAAGACGUGCCCUAAUCCCCUGAAUGAAAUAAUACACUAAUAAUACACAAAGACAAUGUUCUUGGCGUGCUUUCUGAAUGACAACUGCAGGUGGAAAUUGGAAUGUUUUGUGAGUGAUUACGAUGCUCUUUGAAGCUGACAUCCUAAUGGGCACAAGAUG